rnacentral:rRNA from 1 species
UACGGAGGGUGCAAGCGUUAUCCGGAUUUAUUGGGUUUAAAGGGUCCGUAGGCGGAUCUGUAAGUCAGUGGUGAAAUCUCACAGCUUAACUGUGAAACUGCCAUUGAUACUGCAGGUCUUGAGUGUUAUUGAAGUAGCUGGAAUAAGUAGUGUAGCGGUGAAAUGCAUAGAUAUUACUUAGAACACCAAUUGCGAAGGCAGGUUACUAAGCAACAACUGACGCUGAUAGACGAAAGCGUGGGGAGCGAACAGG